UCCUUGGUGGCUCAGUGGUAAAGAAUCUGCCUGCCAAGCAGAAUACCUGGGUUUGAUCCCUGGGUUGGGAA
rnacentral:tRNA from 1 species